ACACGCUUUCGAUAAAAGAAUCGCGCGGGUUGCCUGUUGCCACUGCGGUCUUUGCCUUCAAAUAGCGAGAAGAAUGUGACACGUGAAAUGUUUGGUCGACGAGCCUCACCUUCACAUGAAGAGGCCGUACACCCUGAGCAUUGGCACAUUUGAGGACCUUAAACAAGCCAUUGCGGUGUGCCCCAUCUUGGGAAACCUCGUCGCGCUGUCUACGUCUAGAUUUUCAGGUUAUGGACAUGAACUUUGAUGAGUACGUCGACCUUGGCCCUGGUGAUGAUAUACCACACAUGGCAAAGAUUAAAUUGGCUGCCUUUCAGUCGCCCACCUCUGGAUGGCUCGUCAUCAUCGACAUGUGACGUUGAGAAUGCUGAAGAGCAGGACUCGUGGAAGAUAGCGCUCGGAAACAAAUUCAAGAAUGCAAGGAGGCAUAUGACAGAUGAGCGCCUAAAGGAGAAUAGACAGAAGUUUGCCACAAAGAAGACAUCCACAAGGGAAUUGGAUGACAAACUCCGAAGGAACAAGAAGGCGAAGAUGGGAGGGAGCGUUCCAAUAACACCCUGUAUUUUGUACGAUGGGGCUGAUCUUCCAUAUGCAAGGAACCUUUCGCUCCAUGCAGACAAAGAACUCAUGUUCCGUAUGUCGAACGGUGAAGAAAGGGUAUACUUGUACUGAUGUCAGCACAUUGGCUCCUGAACGUAGAGUACGCCCGGAAGGCCUUCAACGUUCUUGUGACCAUGGAAUGGCUGCUACUCGGUCAGCGAUCAACCUCACCAAGAACACCAGUUGUUAAGCUGUUGAACGUUUUCAAAAAAGCUACAAAAUAGGCCUUAGCUUCCGCAGGGACAAAAUCCAAAAAACAUAUAUUGAAAACACAAAUAACUACUCAUUGCAUGAUGAAAAUAUUACUGUUAGUAUAAAUUCAAUUUUAUCGCGUGUGGUACAUGUGACACAUGUGACAAAAUCGAGUUUAUACAAAAGUAAUCUUUUCAUCAUGUAAUGUGUAGUUAUUUGUUUUUGAAUAUACAGAAAAGAUUACUGUAGUGAUACUGGCACUUCAUUUCAACUUAUUUUUUGCUCCAGUUUCUUGUGACAUGUUAUGAGUCAUUUUGU
rnacentral:lncRNA from 1 species